rnacentral:rRNA from 1 species
UACGUAGGGUGCAAGCGUUAAUCGGAAUUACUGGGCGUAAAGCGUGCGCAGGCGGUUUUGUAAGUUUGUCGUGAAAUCCCCGGGCUCAACCUGGGAAUUGCGAUGAAGACUGCAACGCUUGAAUCUGGCAGAGGGGGGUAGAAUUCCACGUGUAGCAGUGAAAUGCGUAGAGAUGUGGAGGAACACCGAUGGCGAAGGCAGCCCCCUGGGUCAAGAUUGACGCUCAUGCACGAAAGCGUGGGGAGCAAACAGG